rnacentral:rRNA from 1 species
AUUGAACGCUGGCGGCAGGCCUAACACAUGCAAGUAGCACGAGUGGCGGACGGGUGGGUAAUGUCUGGGAAACUGCCUGAUGGAGGGGGAUAACUACUGGAAACGGUAGAUAAUACCGCAUACCAUGAGCUGUGCCCAGAUGGGAUUAGCUUGUUGGUGGGGUAACGGCUGAACAAGGCGACGAUCCCUAGCUGGUCUGAGAGGAUGACCACCCUCACGUGAACUGAUGCACGGUCCAGACUCCUACGGGAGGCAGCAGUGGGGAAUAUUGCACAAUGGGCGCAAGCCGGAUGCAGCCAUGCCGCGUGUAUGAAGAAGGCCUUCGGGUUGUAAAGUACUUUCAGCGGUGAGGCGUUACCCGCAGAAGCAGCACCGGCUAACUCCGUGCCAGCAGCCGCGGUAAUAC